UCCCUCGGGAUUUUUUUUGCAGGUCUUUUUAAUUUAGCUUACUUCUUUUUAUUCAACGGAAAUACACGAUAUUCUCCUCUUCCCAGUCUCUUCCCCUUCUCGGCCCUUUUUAUCCCCUGUCUUCCCGAUCUCUCUCUCUCUCCCGUAGUAGGAACGAACCGGGGUGAGCGCAGCAGACGAUUGGCGAAUGUUGGGAGGCGUCAAUGGGGAUAGAUUGGAGCUCCUUUUGCAGAGACGGAUCCCUCCUCUCUCUCUCUCUCUCUCUCUCUCUCUCUCCAAUACAACGCUUCUAAUCCCCAGUCCAUGAUUCAUGUAGGUACAUCCCGUUCCAGUGCUCUCACGUCCAUUAACCAUGGUAACCGCCGCCGGUGUUGGGAUCUGGGCGGACGGACCUGAGUGCGCGCGGCCGGUUGGUGUAGACGCCGUCGUGGGCGAGGCUCCACUUGAGCAGGCCGUUCCAGUCGGGGCCGCCUCCUGCUCCUUACUUGGCCAUGGUCUCAUGGUUGCCGACGGAGAGAUAGACGCUGCUGCCGGUGCAGUGGGUUCCUGACUUCUUCGUGGAUACCAUCGCCUCCAUUGACUCCCCGCUCCUCUUUGUAGUAUAUUUAUGGUGAUGUAGCUAUUGGUUUUCACAGCAUAAUUUUGGUGUUUUCCAGCACUAUGCAUUCUCUUUUGAUGUGCUAAAAUGUUAUGCGGCUAUUAGAUUUGACUAAUUAUGAUAACAUUGCGCAUAUAUUGAUUGUUUCAUUCAUUUUUUAAGUAACAUCUAUGCGUUUCAAUCUAUUUUUGCUAGAGAUCUUGAUGUAUGCACACAAAAAGGGGGCACUGAAGUCACUGAAACCCCUGGCAAGAAAAAGGUAGUUGCUGAAAUUUUGCAAUGAUGUCUGUUUCUUCAUGCUUCCGCUGGAAAGGUUAUAAAACAUCACGUGCUACCUGGUAAUUCAACCAAUUAUGAAGUGGCGUGAUACUUAGUUUUUUCUAAUUCUGAACCAUUUUCUAAUUUUCCUUUUCUUCCUGAAGAUUACAUCCCACACAUGCAACAGUGUGAUGGUAUAUAGAAGUUCAUAUUUCUAAGGCACGUCAUAUACAUGUUUUAUCGGUAAUCAUCAUGGCUCGCUUCCUUUCUUCAUUGGAAUUCCAAAAAUUGACAAUAAUGUUCCAAAAAUUAAGUAUUUAUUUUCCGAGAACUGAAAAUAUGAUAAUUAUGGCUCCUUGAGACAAAGAUUCAUGUUUCUUGACAUUCAUGUGCUACUUUUGCGCAUUUUAUUUGCUUAGUCACACUCAAGAGUUCCCAGCUGGUGUCAUAAGCUCACUUAAAUUUCAUAAAAUUUAGGUUGUGUGAUUCACAAGAUGACAAAUAAAAGACGUAUGGGGGUUAUGAAUCUUCUGCAAACUAUUAUUUCUCUCUAUUGGUAGUUGGUUUGCUUAAUUUGUAUUUUGAAUAUGAUGCUCAUGCAGUACUGUCGCCAUCUGACGAGCGCGCGCUGCAUGAUGUGUCUAGCAGUAGUAACAGCCCAGUUGAAGCAUCGGCUUGGUCAGGAGAAGGAGCACUAUUAUGGCAACAGGUUUCACGACAUCUAUAAUGCAGUCAGCUACGGCAGAAAAGAUACUGCUGUAACGACUAUUUAGGUACACUGGAGAUCCGAGAUCAAUUAUGGACUGCAAACAUGCUAUCGAUGGUCUAAUUUUCCCUGAUGCAUCGUGUUUGCGCAUAACAAAAAGUUUUAUUAACCAUGUUACCAGACCAUUCAUGAAGACAAUAUCAUCAUCCAACUGAUUCAAAUUAUAUUCUUUCAUUAUCUUUUGGGUUCACAUUUGCACAUAUAUUACUAUUGUGCAUUGCUGAAGAUGUCCGAUGUAUUUACUUUGUAAAAGUGUAGAGGUAGCUGCCCUAUCGAGCGUUGGCGCCUAUGAAAAAUCUCUAUGGUAAUGUUACAGAUGGAUCGUUGUAUUACUCCCAUCCUAUCACAGUACCGAAAUCAAAGGCAUGUUGAAUUCGCUACACAUCACGAGUGGUAUUCUGCUGCGGGAGUAGCUCAUUGGUCUGAGGCUCAAGUUCCAGGUAAGUCCAUUAGGUAUACCUGCAUACAAUUUUGCUGUGAUGUUCAAACUGUCAAGCUAGCAUGGUAGGAAUCAGAUGUGCAGGUGAAAGGGUCAUCUCAGACUGGAAUGUAAGCCAACUAAUCUAAUAUGAGUAUGUAAAGCAUCUUUACUACCAAUGGUUCUUUGCUGGUAGAACGACUAGCUAGCGAUAUCACCAUAUCGUGCCUCGGAUGUUAUGGUUUCAAUAAUUUUACACUUAGCCGAUGGGGUUACUAGACCACUGCGUUAAUAGUUUAGCACCUGAGAAAGAAAUAUAUUUUUUAAGUAUGAGAAAUUCCAUUGAAUUAAGCAUGAUUGCGAUAGAGCACUCAAUAAAUUAUAUAUGUUUUGUAACUGUUCAAUUGUCAAUGCAUUACGUGAUUUCUGCAAUGCACAAUAUAUAGUUCUGUUGUAAAUAUGUCAUUGAUGAUAGGCAUUUUAUCCAUUCCUAUAUACAUAUCUAUUCUCACCUUAUUACACACGUUUUUGAGUGUGUAAGAUCACCACAUCCCAUGUAUUUUAUAGAAACUAUCAUGGUAUGCACUAAAAAUUCUCCGUAACAACGCACGUGUCUGAUUCAAAUAGUUGAUCACCAUUACCUAUAUUUCUUUUAACAUGUGAAUAUACCAAUUCAAUAUGCAACCAUGAAUGGGAAAACAUCCAUUUCAAUCAUUCAUGCAUGGGAAAAUACAUCCGUCAUUUUAUAAAACUUAUAUUCAAUAAUGGUUGUACAACUGUACAAUAAUCAAAUGAUUAUGUAUAUCUAUUUUUAUUUAACUAAAGUUCAUAUUAUAAAUCUAAAUAUGCAUGUUUCGUACAACCAAAUAUCACUGAAAUAUCUUGCAACCAAUUCCCGCAGCAACACGCGGGGUAUUAUCUAGUUUUACAGUCGCUGUGCACAUACUACGCUGCUAUACGUUUUGUAGUAUUAUCCUUUUAAGAACAAGUGCCGGUGCUAUGCUUUGCUAAUCCAAAAGGUGCAGUUUAUCAUUGCCCUUCAAGUAUGGUGCCAGCAUAUAUGUGUUUUAACUUUUUGUCCCUUGUUUUGCUAUGUUUAACCUUUCAUGCCCAGCUUCUUUGAUAAACUAAUUGUCCCCUUCAAGGCCACUGACUGCAUGACGGAGAGGUUAUCAAUUGGACAGUUUUGUCCUUCAUUUCAUUACUCGAAUGGCCAUGCUUCUCUUUGUAUUCAUACACAAAUUUGAAGCUUAUAGCUUGAUUUACAUCUGAAUGACUUCGGCUUUAGUGUUUACUAGAAGAGUUGGGCGCGCUUUGUUGCGUCGUUGAUGUAAUUGGGUUUUCAUACUUUUUUUACUCCAUCUAUUUCAAAAUAUAAGGUGUAUUACUUUUUUUUAACUGUCAAACCUAUUUAAGUUUGACCGAA